GAUGAAGAACGUAGCGAAAUGCGAUAAGUAAUGUGAAUUGCAGAAUUCAGUGAAUCAUCGAAUCUUUGAACGCACAUUGCGCCCGCCAGUAUUCUGGCGGGCAUGCCUGUCCGAGCGUCAUUUCAACCCUCGAACACCUCCGGGGGGUCGGCGUUGGGGAUCGGCCCUUUACGGGGCCGGCCCCGAAAUACAGUGGCGGUCUCGCCGCAGCCUCUCCUGCGCAGUAGUUUGCACACUCGCAUCGGGAGCGCGGCGCGUCCACAGCCGUUAAACACCCCAAACUUCUGAAAUGUUGCCCUCGGAUCAGGUAGGAAUACCCGCUGAACUUAAGCAUAUCAAUAAGCGGAGGA
rnacentral:misc_RNA from 1 species